rnacentral:rRNA from 1 species
CCUACGGGAGGCUGCAGUGGGGAAUAUUGCACAAUGGGCGCAAGCCUGAUGCAGCCAUGCCGCGUGUGUGAAGAAGGCCUUCGGGUUGUAAAGCACUUUCAGCGGGGAGGAAGGCGGUGAGGUUAAUAACCUCAUCGAUUGACGUUACCCGCAGAAGAAGCACCGGCUAACUCCGUGCCAGCAGCCGCGGUAAUACGGAGGGUGCAAGCGUUAAUCGGAAUUACUGGGCGUAAAGCGCACGCAGGCGGUCUGUCAAGUCGGAUGUGAAAUCCCCGGGCUCAACCUGGGAACUGCAUUCGAAACUGGCAGGCUAGAGUCUUGUAGAGGGGGGUAGAAUUCCAGGUGUAGCGGUGAAAUGCGUAGAGAUCUGGAGGAAUACCGGUGGCGAAGGCGGCCCCCUGGACAAAGACCGACGCUCAGGUGCGAAAGCGUGGGGAGCAAACAGGAUUAGAUACCCCAGUAGUC